rnacentral:rRNA from 1 species
UACGGAGGGAGCUAGCGUUGUUCGGAAUCACUGGGCGUAAAGCGCACGUAGGCGGAUGUGUCAGUCAGGGGUGAAAUCCCGGAGCUCAACUUCGGAACUGCCUUUGAUACAGCACGUCUUGAGUCCGAUAGAGGUGGGUGGAAUUCCUAGUGUAGAGGUGAAAUUCGUAGAUAUUCGCAAGAACACCAGUGGCGAAGGCGGCUCACUGGCCCGGUACUGACGCUGAGGUGCGAAAGCGUGGGGAGCAAACAGG